CAGAGGUCUCAAGCGUUGUUCGGAAUUACUGGGCGUAAAGGGUGCGCAGGCCGCGCGGGCAGUCAAAUGUGUAAUCCAGGGGCUCAACCCCUGAACUGCGCUUGAUACUUCCGCGCUCGAGCUUUGGAGAGGAGUCUGGAAUUCUCGGUGUAGCAGUGAAAUGCGUGGAUAUCGAGAAGAACACUUAGGGCGUAGGCAAGACUCUGGACAAAUGCUGACGCUCAUGCACGAAGGCUAGGGUAGCGAACGGGAUUAGAUACCCCGGUAGUCCUAGCUGUAAACGGUGCACGUUUGGUGUGGGAGGCAACCCCUUCCGUGCCGAAGCUAACGCGAUAAACGUGCCGCCUGGGUAGUACGGUCGCAAGACUA
rnacentral:rRNA from 1 species